AGCGCGUCACAAGUUUAGCGCAUGCGUUUUUCAAAUCUUAAAGUCCUCGUGAAUUCAAAGUAACUUUUUUGUAAUUAAAACGAGUUCACUUUAUAUUCUUGACAUCAAAAUGAAUCAAAAAAACUUUUGCCAAGAUUUGGAAGAUGUAGCGAUUGUUAUUUCUCAAGAAGGAAGUUAGGUUACUGUAGAAACUUACGAUGAAGUACUUGUUUUGAUACAUAGCUUCGAAACAGAGACUGUAUCAAAGUUUUAUGCUAUAGUGCUGCUAAAAACUUUGGAAAGAUGGAUUGCUGAGGAUACUAAAUUUAGAAGAGUGCAAUUCUCAAACUGUAUUAAAGAUGCUUUGUCAAGAAAUAAAGAAAUAAGGGAAAGAGUGUUUCCAGUUUGCUUUCCUUCAAAAAGUUCUCAUACUGGUCAUUUUACCAGAAAUGUAAGAUUUCUUUUUUGUGUAGAUAAAGUUAAACAGCAGAUAUUAAGAGAAAAAAAACAUUAAAGAGUUAUCCAAAUAGUUUUCGUUUCUUGUUUGCAUAUUUUAAACAUCUUAAAGUUAGUUUAUAAUUUCAAACAUGUUAUUUAACUUGUUUUGUCAUAUAACAUUAAAGUUAUAAUUUCAAACAUGUCAUUUAACUUGUUUUUUCAAAACUUCGAGAUCGAGUUAGAGGCCUAUACUUUGAAGAAAUUUGUAAUUAAAUACCUUUUUUUUUCGUUUUAAACGACAAUCUUUUGGAAUCUCCAAUUAAAAUCUGUAAAUUUGGAGGUGGUGCAAAAGUAUAUUAGCGCCUGUAAAAGAUCUUCAGAUGAACCUUCAGAUUGCAACAGCUUUCUUCAAAGCUCUAAACGGAUGGACCAAGUUGCAACAGUAAUUACAUUUCAUUUAUUUGAUCUAUAUAUAGGACUCUAAUAAUUAAACUUCAAAAUAUUAUUUAAAUAAUAUUAAUUUAAACAGUUUAAUAUUAAUUUAAACAGUCAUUUAAAGUUCUUUUAAAAUCAUUUUCUUGUUAUACGAUAUUUAUGUUUUA